rnacentral:rRNA from 1 species
GACGAACGCUGGCGGCGUGCUUAACACAUGCAAGUCGAACGGUGAGGCCCUUCGGGGUACACGAGUGGCGAACGGGUGAGCAACACGUGGGUGAUCUGCCCUGCACUUCGGGAUAAGCCUGGGAAACUGGGUCUAAUACCGGAUAGGACCACUGCCUGCAUGGGUGGUGGUGGAAAGCUUUUGCGGGUUGGGAUGGGCCCGCGGCCUAUCAGCUUGUUGGUGGGGUGAUGGCCUACCAAGGCGACGACGGGUAGCCGGCCUGAGAGGGUGACCGGCCACACUGGGACUGAGAUACGGCCCAGACUCCUACGGGAGGCAGCAGUGGGGAAUAUUGCACAAUGGGCGCAAGCCUGAUGCAGCGACGCCGCGUGAGGGAUGACGGCCUUCGGGUUGUAAACCUCUUUCAGCACCGACGAAGCGCAAGUGACGGUAGGUGCAGAAGAAGGACCGGCCAACUACGUGCCAGCCGCCGCCGUAA